UUACGGUCAUAUCAAGUUGAAACCGCGGUUCCCGUAUUAUCACCAAAGUUAAGAAACGUCGAACCUGGCCAGUACCUAGAUGAGUGACCGCUUGGGAAUACCAGUUGGUGUAA